GGAAACAGAGCCUUGCAAAUGUAAAAUUAGUUAAGAGUAGAUAUGUGCAAUCACAAAAAUUUCUUACAUUCAUGCGCACAAUGUCUUGCAUAUUAUUAGAAUUCACUUCUCUUUGACAUGGAAGCUUGUAGAACUGUUUCCCAUUCCACUUUUAUUUAUUUAUUGCAUGGCUUAAUUAAUUGUAUCUCUACUUGUAUAUGUCAUUUUUGUUCUUAAAAUAUUGCUUAUUGGCUGGCGUGUCUCUUCCCGUGUACAGUUUGGACAGGUCGGAGAUGGUGACUCGACCUUGUGAUUACUUGCGUUGGAGCUCAAUUGAGGCGAGUUUCAGCUAGAACAUCUUGUGAUUUCUGCAUCGUACCAUCCCCCAUCCACUUACUGGUUGGAAGAAACUCACAUCGAGUUUUGCACCACUGAAUUAUAAGAAUUCCCAGAAUAUGUACACACAAAUAAUGAAAUCUUAAAAACUUUUACGACUUCCUUUGAAUACCGCGGUGAUGCUGACAGCCUUCCUUCUUGCAGACAAAGGCACAUCGAGUCUGUUUACUUGAAUUUGGAUAUGCAAGUAAAACUCCACCUUAGCUUCUUCGAUCCAACAACACAAGCUAUUGUGGUGAUGUGUUGAAAACCAAAACUUCUUUAGUUCUCGCUUCCUUCUCUUUAUAAUGAGUUGAGAACAUGAUUUGCAGAUUUCUGGUUUGCCCUUGGAAACUGACAAUUUGCAGAAAUUUGUUUAAAAGAUCGACAUAUGGAGGUCAUUUUUCUUUACUUUUCUCAAUAAGCGUUGGCUGUUUUUCAUGAAAGGACGAUAAACAGGAUGUAGUUCCCAAAUUAUUUGAGGAUGGAUCAAAUGGAUAAGUGCUUCUACAGUGAUGAUGCAUGUAUUUGUGGAUGCGUUUCUCAGUUAACCCUGAGUUGUUGUUCAUGUGGAGUGAAUUAUGCAUGAAGUAUGACAAACUUCACUUGUGUCUGCAAUGGAAGUGCCCAUUAACACAUCCAGUAGUAUUUAAUUUUGGGCCUUGCCUCCCUGGGCCGAUGUAAUUCAUUUGGCUUACAAACAAGUAUUUUUUUUCUCGUUAAUUUCAAUCAAUACACCGGAAAAGGUCUUAUGAUUUCAAUAGUUUUAGUUGAAAUAUGUUUUGUAGAAUAACAUCUAGUGCACUAGCAUAUUUUGCUGCGUUUUCUGACAAAAAUCUCUAAAUUUUAUCCGUCGGAAUUCCAAAGAAAUUAUACCAAAGGUCAUAGAAGCUCUGAGUGUUGAUGGAUCUGGUGGCCACCAGAUCGAAGCUUCAACUGUUGAUCCAUCAUCAGAGAAAACCUGGGUUUCACCAUCUGAAAGAUAUAUACCACUGUUCCUGAUGAAUCUGUAAGUUCGCAUUUCUAAAAUUUCAACAAUCAUAGUUGGGACACCAAGUUGGACAGGCGUAAAUUCACCUUCUUUUGUCACCAUUUUGACAAAAGGCAUCAAUCACAUGUAGCAGCAUGGUAAUGAUAAUAAAAUGGCUGCUGUCAUUUAGCAUGCCCUAAAGGACUGUAGGUGGCCCAGCUUGUAGAUAUCAAAGAACAAAGAACAAAAAUAAAAAAGAAAGAAAAGACAUUGUCACCAAAGGAAAUUGCUUCUAGGAAUUCAAGCUAAAUUUUCUAUUUCAGGAUUGAAUUCGCAAUGUUAAUUAGUGUUUGACACAUGAAGCAUACACGUGGAAAUCAUUGCGAUUGUAUAAUGUUGUUAUAAAAACACAUCUCAGGAUAUCAAAAUUUUUAUCAUAGUCAAAAUAUUUACAUGGUCAUUCCUUCAAUAACAGUUAUGAUUUGUUCUUCCUUUUCAUGUUAUUUUUUAGCAGUACUUUUCAAAGACUUACUGUAAUUUUAACAAUCUUCAAACUAGUUUUGAUUAAUGAAGAGUGCAUAUUUUGAAGGGGAAAAAAAUCAAUGCAGUGAGUUUGCAAGAACACUUCCUAUAUGUUCUGCAUUUGAAAAGUGUGCAUAGAAUGAAAUGUCAGAUAAAUCUCCAUGCCAGAACAUGUUUUUCAAAGCUUCUUAGAGUGUUUAGUAAUGUUUUUGCUCAAAAGAACCCAAAUUAACAGCCAUCAUCACCACAAUAAUGAUGAUGACAACAGUGGUGUACUAUGUGAUAUCUCAAGAUUUUAAUCUUUACUUGCUGUGUAUCUGUUGGUUCAGAGGCAAACAGUUGCGUUUGGGGGUAAUGGGAAUGAUGUCAAACGGAUGCGGAUUUGAUUACUCCAGAUCCAUGGAGCACCAAUAACCUUUUCUUCCGUCCCCGAGCUUCCAUUAUCCGUCUUUCUGAACCAGGCAAUGCCUGAACUGUCAUAUUUUGCACUCUUAUUACCGCUGAAUGUAAAUUCUUCCUGGACAGAACGUUGUUUUUGGUUAUAAAUUUAUUGAGAGGAAAUAUAUUUGACUCUGCAGAUUCAACUUUUUGUUCAAAAGCCAACUGACCAGGCAAAAAGGAACCGCGAUUCAGCCUGGUUUGUUCUCCUGGUGAAACUAUCCAUGUUGAUCGGCGUGUCCCUCUAUGCAUACACAGGAAUAUUUUUACAAAACCGGUUCCUAUGGCUGAGCAGUAUUUCAUUUUGCAUGCGAAAUGAUGGCUAUUGACAGAAAUCUGUCUCCAUUUUUCUCUAGUUUCAUCUUAUCAACAUAAACAAAGCCGACAAAUGCGCCCCUCAGUUGUACAUAUGAUCUUAACAACGUUCCGCGCUAGCCAUUUAGUCAA